rnacentral:rRNA from 1 species
UACGGGGGGGGGCAAGCGUUGUUCGGAAUUACUGGGCGUAAAGGGCGCGUAGGCGGCCUUCUAAGUCAGACGUGAAAUCCCUCGGCUCAACCGAGGAACUGCGUCUGAUACUGGAAGGCUUGAAUCCGGGAGAGGGAUGUGGAAUUCCAGAUGUAGCGGUGAAAUGCGUAGAUAUCUGGAGGAACACCGGUGGCGAAGGCGGCAUCCUGGACCGGUAUUGACGCUGAGGCGCGAAAGCUAGGGGAGCAAACGGG